UUCGUACUCCCUCCGUCUCAAAAUGCUUGUCUUUAAUUUGUUUAGAUAUGAACGUAUCUAGUCAUGUAUUAGUAUUUAGAUACAUCCAUUUUUAGACAAACCUAAGACAAGAAUUUUGGGACGGAGGGAGUAUUAG
rfam:Hordeum vulgare subsp. vulgare, WGS project CAJW01000000 data, contig: morex_contig_71925